rnacentral:rRNA from 1 species
ACAGCAGUAGCCGCGGGAAUACGGAGGGGGCUAGCGUUGUUCGGAAUUACUGGGCGUAAAGCGCACGUAGGCGGCUAUGUAAGUUAGAGGUGAAAGCCUGGAGCUCAACUCCAGAAUUGCCUUUAAGACUGCAUCGCUUGAAUCCGGGAGAGGUGAGUGGAAUUCCGAGUGUAGAGGUGAAAUUCGUAGAUAUUCGGAAGAACACCAGUGGCGAAGGCGGCUCACUGGACCGGCAUUGACGCUGAGGUGCGAAAGCGUGGGGAGCAAACAGGAUUAGAUACCCGGGUAGUCCCUGUCUCUUAUAC